rnacentral:rRNA from 1 species
AUUGAACGCUGGCGGCAUGCCUUACACACGCAAGUCGAACGGUAACGCGGGGCAACCUGGCGACGAGUGGCGAACGGGUGAGUAAUGUAUCGGAACGUGCCCAGUUGUGGGGGAUAACUGCUCGAAAGAGCAGCUAAUACCGCAUACGACCUGAGGGUGAAAGCGGGGGAUCGCAAGACCUCGCGCAAUUGGAGCGGCCGAUAUCAGAUUAGGUAGUUGGUGGGGUAAAGGCUCACCCAGCCCACGAUCUGUAGCUGGUCUGGGAGGACGACCGACCACACUGGGACUGAGCCACGGCCCAGAGUCCUACGGGAGGCAGCAGUGGGGAAUUUUGGACGAUGGACGCAAGUCUGAUCCAGCCAUGCCGCGUGCGGGAAGGAGGCCUUCGGGUUGUAAGCUGCUUUUGUACGGAACGAAACGGCCCUGGUUAAUACCCGGAGCUAAUGACGGUACCGUAAGAAUAAGCACCGGCUAACUACGUGCCAGCCGCCGCCGUAACAC